AGCCCUAAAGUAGCCAUUUUGUACUUGAUUGUUGCUUUCAUCUCUCUUGUAGCUGCCAAUGUUCUUAACUCCUGUUAUGCUACCACCUGGUUUUUAAUUUUCAUAUUGCUGAGGCGAUGGCACAUUCUUACUAAUCCAAAAUGGUGCCAAUUCAAGGAGCUCACACAACAGAAGGAGUGGUUCAUGAAGCAACCCAAAAGUCUUGUAUAAAGACACUCCUUUUCUUCCAGAGAUGGUUGGGAAGAAUAAUCCACAUUAUGAUUGUGACCUAUUGACUGAAGUAAUAGCUAGUUUGUCUGAAAAUAUAAAAACUCCAUUGCACUCUAAUGAAGACAGUCAGAUGUCUCCCAGACCAUGGCAGUGAAAUCUGUCAGGUCCUAGCACUGAACUUUCCAGGACCCAAUUGUAGGAUUUUCUAAAUAAUGAGCUUCCAUCUGGGGAGCCCGCUUGCACCGAUGGUCAGCUGGAACCUUAAUUUGGGGAUCUUCAGGCUUACAGGUGAAGGUAUUCAAUUCAAUCCCGUUCAUCACGGCAGCCUGCAAGUGUACAUCUAAGUGAGUGGCAGAGAUUUCUACAAGUUGUUGACUUUGAAUUGAAAGUGAUGUGAAAGUCCAAAUGCUAUGACAAUGUAACCAGUUUGUUACCUCAUACUCCUUAGAGAUGGACAGCUCAGUGCUGCUGGUGUGUUUUGCUCUGAAGCUCAAUAACUUUAAUUUUAUUUCCACACUAAAUGACUCAGGCAAAUUAUAUAUUUUGCAUCCAAUCCACAUGUUUGAUUACUGGUAGGAAUUUAGAUUCUGUCAAGCUUUCAUCAGGCACUGGCUAUUCGAUCCAAAUUAUUUAGCAGCUUUAAAAAACACCUUUUAUGUUCCAAAGAAUUAAUCAAAAUGAACACUGCCAAAGUGUGAUCAGGUGUUCACCUCUCAUCAGCCCUGAAGGAGCUAAGAUGGUGCAGUUAGGGCCAAUUAGCCUUAUAGGCUGUACCUGGGGGACAGUCUGGUUUGACUGAAAAUGCCUAAUGGCUGUUAAAGGCUAACUGGGGAAGAAACUGGCUAAGGUAUAAAGCCAGGAAGUUUGCUGCAGAAAGGGGCUGCAGUGUAGAAGCUGGUAGCCUAUCUCUGGGCUUAGAGAGGGAAAAGGAGGAAACCCGGAAGGAGGGAAGAGAAGCCCAGGAAUCCUGUUCCAAGAGAAUGGUUUACCCAGAAGCAUGGAGGAGAGAGCCUGUGGGAGGCGGAGGAGGGAGCAAUGAGGUUAAAGAUUGUGCUGCUGAUUGUAGGGUCUCUAGGCUGUAACCUGGAAUCGUGGGUGGGCCUGGAUUCUCCUACCAGGCACUGGGGAAGAGGUACAAGAUUGUGGGAGAUGCUAACUGGACAUUUGGUUGACAGGGAUUUUGAUACCCCAGGAGCAGUAUACUAUGUCUGACUUGGAAAGCUGAGUCACAAAGAGAGCACCCUGAGUCCUAGACAGUGAGAGGUGCUGCAGGGUGAACAAGCAUCUGAAAGAGGCACUAGACUAGACAAGAGCUGAUCCCCAGACCCAGUCACAAUGGGGUGUCCCCAGUACUGUGUGUACUGCGUUAGAAAAUGACAACAGAAUGAAGAGGUUCCCUACCUGGAAUGGGAAUUCUGUGAAAAAUCUACAUGCAGUAGGCUUAUAAGUUUUAACAAAACUAUUUUCCAAAAAUUGCUCCUUUCUCCCCUCCAGAGAAAUCCAGACUCUCUUGCUUCUCUGGAGGGGCAUAAAAAAGGAGAUGUCAUUUCCACAUGAGAUUAAUUAUGGAUAAAAGUGAGAUUCUAAGUUUUCUUUCUUUAGAAUCCUGUUCUAUUCCCCAAAUGGGACCUACACUAUUGAAGUCUAUGGGAGAUUUUUUGUUUGUUUCACUGAGAGCAGGAUUGGGAUCAUAUUGUGCAGGCAUUCUUGCAAUAAAAUCAAAUAUGUUCGAUUAGAGUCAAGGAUCUGCCAUUUCCAUUGCUUUGCUGAUUAUCCCAAUCUUGUUGCUCCAUUACUGCUUGUCAGCUUCAUUGUGACUACUCAACCUACUUACAGUAUUGAGCCCUGAAGUACAGGGUGGUGCUGUAACUAUCAAGGAAUACCAAAAAGUGGUUGGAAAUUUACAUGAGUUGCCCUGAGUCUGAAAUGCUGUUGACCAUAAAGAAACCAAAGAAACAACCAGAAUCUAAACAAAUUUGAACUGGGUUUUCUCUUGGAAAGUGAUGUAAGGUGAAGCCAAAGAUUGUACUUAUGCCUUUAAUCAAUGUCAGGUAAUUGACAGUGAUGGUUAUCCAGUCAUCCUGAAGCUUAUCCUCAUUAAGAUUGGCAGCUUCAUCUUUAGACACUGAGGUGUUUCCCUGCACACUGUCAAGAUAAUAUUUCUUGUAGACAACAUAUGCCAUUGUUAACCUAGUUUUUUAUUGGGCAGGUAUCAGGGAUAAAGGAAAAGUAACAAAUACAUUUAUUUCCUGCUUUGCUAAUAAGCUAUUUUCUUAUGUUUAAACUAAUCUGAUUUACAUUUUCCAAAUCAAACUCAUGCAACAAUACAUUUAAACAAAAUAAUAAUAAACUGAAUGAUGAUAAAGCAAGAAAAAAAGUUGUCAGGAGAGUCUGACACAUUAUUAAACAUUAAAAACAUAAAUGCCAGUACACUACAGAAAAACAUAGUCAAGCAAAAACUUCAUCCUCAGAAAUGACUAGAUCAAACUGUCUUAAAGUACUUGCUCAGUUUUAAAUAGCCAACAGUUAAUUCUCUUUGGAUUGUUUCUCAUAUUAGAGUUUUAUGAUGUCAUUCAUAUUAUCCUGUCUUUGUCAGAUUAUAGAGACAUCAGAAAGUUGUCAAGAUUUUUUGAAAGGCUGCUAGGCAUAACUUAUUUGGUAGAUUUUUGUAUUUUGAAUAUAAAAGUGUUGUUUGGGUUUUUAAUGAAGCUGGAAAUAGACAUUUUCACAUGAACACCAUGGCACUCAAAUAAAUUAGUCUUUUGUGCU